ensembl:lncRNA
GUGAGAGGACCAUCUCCAACUGUCCUCCACUCGUCUCCAUGUCCCAACGUCUCUGACUCUGCUUCUACGUGUGUGACCAGGACCCAUCAGAGACCAGAAGAAGAUCUAAGGAGACUUCUACAGUAAGAAGUAAAAACAGAUGAAACUGAUGACUAACUGUCACUCAACUAAUAAACUGUCCAUCGACAGUCUUCAGCAUCUGGUUUUCAUGAUGAUCAAUGACAGAAGCUGGAGGAAUUACACAGGUAUAUGAGCCAGAGGGUUCAACUAGUCUACAUGUAGAAGAAGACCAGGUGACAAAGAGGGACGUGCACGGGUCCUCUGGGUCCAACAACAGCAUCCAGUCUGUUGUCAUAGCAACUCUUUACAAGGUGGAAGGAUCGUUCCACAGAUGCUGGUUUUGAUCCUGAAAGACUCUUGUUGAGCCGUGAGGAGGAUUCUGUUCACGAGGACCUUUGACCCUGUUAACAGCUCAGACUGAGACUCAGUCAACCAGUCAGACUGCAUACUUUGAUGGUGACGUGAGGACGCACCCUCUCUGAUGAAGGACAACAAGCUCUAACAAGCUGCAACACUUCACUCCGUCUGAUGGAAGCUGAAGUGAAGCACGGAGCUCCUUUUCUACACGGACCUGCUGAGGACAGAACAGAGCUGCUCACUGAGG